rnacentral:rRNA from 1 species
CCUACGGGUGGCAGCAGUGGGGAAUAUUGCGCAAUGGGCGCAAGCCUGACCCAGCAACGCCGCGUGAAGGAAGAAGGCUUUCGGAUUGUAAACUUCUGUUCUCAGGGACGAAGGAAGUGACGGUAACUGAGGAAUAAGCCACGGCUAACUACGUGCCAGCAGCCGCGGUACUACGUAGGUGGCGAGCGUUAUCCGGAGUUAUUGGGCGUAAAGGGCGCGUAGGCGGGAGCGCAAGUCAGAUGUGAAGACCCCGGGCUCAACGCUGAGCCUGCAUUUGAAACUGUGAUUCUUGAGUGCUGGAGAGGCUAUUGGAAUUCCGGGUGUAGCGGUGAAAUGCGUAGAUAUACGGAGGAACAUCAGUGGCGAAGGCGAAUAGCUGGAAAGUAACUGACGCUGAGGCGCGAAAGCGUGGGGAGCAAACAGGAUUAGAUACCCGAGCAGUC